GACGUACGCUGGCGGCGUGCCUAAUACAUGCAAGUCGAGCGGAAGUUGGAGAGCUUGCUCUUCAACUUUAGCGGCGGACGGGUGAGUAACACGUGGCAACCUGCCCUGCAGAUCGGGAUAACUCCGGGCAGCCGGUGCUAAUACCGAAUAGUUUUCGCCACCUCCUGGUGGCGUACGGAAAGACGGUUUCGGCUGUCACUGCAGGAUGGGCCCGCGGCGCAUUAGCUAGUUGGUGGGGUAACGGCCCACCAAGGCAACGAUGCGUAGCCGACCUGAGAGGGUGAUCGGCCACACUGGGACUGAGACACGGCCCAGACUCCUACGGGAGGCAGCAGUAGGGAAUCUUCCGCAAUGGACGAAAGUCUGACGGAGCAACGCCGCGUGAGUGACGAAGGUUUUCGGAUCGUAAAACUCUGUUGUGAGGGAAGAACAAGUACCAACUAACUACUGGUACCUUGACGGUACCUCACCAGAAAGCCACGGCUAACUACGUGCCAGCCGCCGCGGUAACAC
rnacentral:rRNA from 1 species